GGCUGGUUAGCUUAGUAGGUUAGAGCAUGGGGCUUAUAACACCAAGGUCCAGGGUUCGAUCCCUGAACCAGUCA